rnacentral:lncRNA from 1 species
GGGAGGUACUUACUUAAUGUCCUUGAAGAGAGAAUUGGGAGUGGAAGAGAAUUAGGAAUUUUUGUAUCACCGAUGACGUUCCUGACUACGGCGAAAUUUUAAAAUUAUUCUCAGUGUUUUUGAAGUUUUACUGUACUUAGCCAAGUAAUUAGUGCGUUCUUUAUUUCGUUUGUUUCGCGACGUGCCGGAGUUCGCUUGCAAGAUACGGGACUUCUCUGCUGACGUCCCCAGUAUUAUCAAACCGCUUUCUGAUCGUUCUACUUAGCAUUGGCUCUAGUUUCCUCACUGCACUUUUAGUGUUUAUUUCGAGUUUUUUCGAAUCUGAACAUUGAUAGUUUCUUAAUUCCGCUCAUUCGCAACGGUAGAUGGAUCGCAUCGCCCGUCAUGAAUUUUUGUAACAUUGAAUUUAGUCUGAUCUCUACUCUUGAGAAACCGUCUGAGUGACACUCCCCUCAAAGUUUCUGUGUGUUUAUUUGCGAGAUCUAAGAUUCUGCCCAGUUUAUUUUAGUGCCGUCUGAAUUUUUACAUCAUGGAUUUUCGUCAUAGCGUUACUGCAACACUUACCGUGAUUAAUGAGAUAUGUUGAAUUUUGUGAGAGAAAAGAAAUGCCUGGCGCAGUCGGAACAGACUUUCUUAGUCAUGCCCUUACGUCAUCAGUAAAGCUGGAGAGUUGUAAAGGACAAAAUCCAGACAUGCCUCAGUACAUGGGUCACCCAGAAAUAGCGCAGUCUAGCUCUUACUCAGUUGACGUCUCUUAUCACCCAGCAAAUGGGCAUCCAGGCAGUCACUCGCCUAAUUCUUCUCUGCAAAGCGAGGAAAAUCCAACACUAGUUUCAAGAACGCAGAAACAGCAAACAACUCAACAAAUAACAACUGUAACCAAAGUCAUUCGGGAAGUUCAUCACAUGGGUCCUGAUGGUGAAGCACCUCCUGUUGACUAUGUCGCAUUUGCUGCCCCUCCAGGCUCUACCCAAGAGCACAUGUUGCCCCAGAACUCAGGUCGGCAUUAUGGGGAACAGUAUGGACCAACAUACCAUGAUUACGAUCACUUUCCUCCGCAAGGAAAUCUGUCUGUAAGUGGCCUAUACUCCAGUUCAGUAGGAUGUUAUCAGCCGUAUGGUAACACCCCAAAUUAUGCUGAACAGCCUCCAACUCCGCCGAGUCCAAGCGAACGCAGCGAAUCUCCUCCACCUGCACAUGCUUAUCUUGACAAAGGUGUCCCAUAUUUGCCGUCCGGUUACGACGAACUGGACGCGACGCAUAUGCUACAGCGACCGGAGCAUUUUAGAAUAACGCCGUCGCCAGGAGAUGUAAGCGACCGCUAUGGUGAGUGUUUUUUUCAAUUUUUGUGGGAUUUUCCAGCGUUUUCACAGCAUGAAUAAUACAUAGCUCUUUACCAGAGCAACACAGGGUUAUGUUCUCACUGUACUUUUCACAAAGAUUGUUAGUCGUAAUGUAAAUCACUGUAACCUAUUGAUAGGGUGAAAAGUUUUUGAAAACUUUGGAA